rnacentral:rRNA from 1 species
GUGGCGGACGGGUGAGUAACGCGUAGGAAUCUACCCGGCAGAGGGGGAUAAGCCAGGGAAACUUGGUCUAAUACCGCAUAACCUCUGAGGAGCAAAGGUGGCCUCUGAUUCAAGCUGCCGCUGCCGGAUGAGCCUGCGUUGGAUUAGCUAGUUGGUGGGAUAAAGGCCUACCAAGGCGACGAUCCAUAGCUGGUUUGAGAGGAUGAUCAGCCACAUCGGGACUGAGACACGGCCCGGACUCCUACGGGAGGCAGCAGUGGGGAAUAUUGGACAAUGGGCGCAAGCCUGAUCCAGCAAUACCGCGUGUGUGAAGAAGGCCUGAGGGUUGUAAAGCACUUUCAAUAGGGAGGAAAGGUUUUUCAUUAAUAGUGGAGAACUCUGACGUUACCUACAGAAGAAGCACCGGCUAACUCCGUGCCAGCAGCCGCGGUAAUACGGAGGGUGCAAGCGUUAAUCGGAAUCACUGGGCGUAAAGCGUGCGUAGGCGGCCGAUUAAGUCAGAUGUGAAAGCCCCGGGCUUAACCUGGGAACUGCAUCUGAUACUGGUUGGCUAGAGUUUGGGAGAGGGAAGCAGAAUUUCCGGUGUAGCGGUGAAAUGCAUAGAGAUCGGAAGGAAUACCAGUUGCGAAGGCGGCUUCCUGGCUCAAAACUGACGCUGAGGUACGAAAGCGUGGGUAGCAAACAGGAUUAGAUACCCUGGUAGUCCACGCCCUAAACGAUGUCAACUAGCCGUUGGGUUCAUUAAAGGACUUAGUGGUGCAGCUAACGCAUUAAGUUGACCGCCUGGGAAGUACGGUCGCAAGACUG